rnacentral:rRNA from 1 species
GACAGAGGUGCCAAGCGUUAGGCGGAAUCACUGGGCUUAAAGCGUGUGUAGGCGGGUGCCUAAGUACCUUGUGAAAUCCCCCGGCUCAACCGGGGAACGGCUGGGUAUACUGGGUGCCUUGGGUCAUCUAGGGGCUGCCGGAACAAAUGGUGGAGCGGUGAAAUGCGUAGAUAUCGCCUGGAACGCCGAAGGUGAAAACAGUCUGCUGGGGGUGUGCCGACGCUGAGACACGAAAGCCAGGGGAGCGAACGGG